GUCACUGUAGUGUAAUGGUUUUUUAAGCAUUAGACUAGGGCUCUGGAGAUCAGGGUUCAAUUCCCUGCUCAAGCA